CAUUGUGUGGUGUAGUGGUUUGAGCAUUAAGACUAUGAUUCUGGAGACUGGGGUUCGAAUCCCUGCUCAGCCA